rnacentral:rRNA from 1 species
UACGUAGGUGGCAAGCGUUGUCCGGAUUUACUGGGCGUAAAGAGCGCGCAGGCGGUCGUUCAAGUCGCGUGUGAAAGCCCCCGGCUCAACUGGGGAGGGUCACGCGAUACUGAUCGACUCGAAGGCAGGAGAGGGUAGUGGAAUUCCCGGUGUAGUGGUGAAAUGCGUAGAUAUCGGGUGGAACACCAGUGGCGAAGGCGACUACCUGGCCUGUUUCUUGACGCUGAGGCGCGAAAGCUAGGGGAGCAAACGGG